rnacentral:lncRNA from 1 species
AAAAUAAUUUAAAAAUGAAAAUCAUGCUAAAAAUAAUACAUAAAAAACAAAGAUGAACUGCAGCGAACAGACGACCACCACUGCAUUACUGGCUUCUGACUAAAAACUGGCACAUACAGAAUGUUUCGGUAUUGUACAAAUAAGUUAGUGAUAAACCCUUCCCGGGAUAGUGGUCAACCAUCACAACAUAAUAAUAGACUUUAUUUUUCUGGUUUAAUUGUUUUACAUUUAAUUUCGGGACCUUUUAUUGCUGACUAUGUGGUAUGUUGAAGGCCGUACAGUGACCUAUAAUUGAUAAAGUCCGUGUAAUUUUGGUCAUUUUGUGAAGAGUUGUCUCAUUGGCCAUCACACCAGAGCUUUUUUUGUAAUGUAAAAUCUGUAUGAAGGGCUUGGCUCAUCAGAUCGACUCAAGGCACACAACC